rnacentral:rRNA from 1 species
AGAAUCAACGCUGGCGGCGUGCCUAACACAUGCAAGUCGAACGAGAAAGUGGAGCAAUCCAUGAGUAAAGUGGCGCACGGGUGAGUAACACGUGACUAACCUACCCUUGAGUGGGGAAUAACUGAGGGAAACCUUAGCUAAUACCGCAUAACACCUACGGGUCAAAGGAGCAAUUCGCUUAAGGAGGGGGUCGCGGCAGAUUAGUUAGUUGGCGGGGUAAUGGCCCACCAAGACAGUGAUCUGUAUCCGGCCUGAGAGGGCGCACGGACACACUGGAACUGAAACACGGUCCAGACUCCUACGGGAGGCAGCAGUGGGAAUUUUGCGCAAUGGGGGAAACCCUGACGCAGCAACGCCGCGUGGAGGAUGAAGACCCUUGGGUCGUAAACUCCUUUCGAUCGGGACGAUUAUGACGGUACCGGAAGAAGAAGCCCCGGCUAACUUCGCGCCAGCAGCCGC